UGUUUUUUGUGUUUUUUUCUUGUUUU
rnacentral:sRNA from 1 species